CUAGGAAUGCAGACGUGCUCUAAUCUGCCAUCUUGAACCUCCCUCACUUAGGUAACUUCUUCACAGGCUUCCCUUCCCGCCAAAAGCACCUUUAUAUCUUCCGGGGUCUCAGACCUCAGCCAGCUUGCUUGGGACUGGAAGCCUGCCUCCUGUAUCCCUGGCCUCAGCUAAAAAACAAUCUGUACUUACCUUGGGAAUGAAGAUUCCCCAACGUUGGAACGCCGAAAGGAGAAGCAAGCUUCAGGCUUCAUGAUGUAUUCACGAGGGCGCAGCUGGACUGAGGGCGCCGCUGGACUGAAGGUGCCGCUGGACUGAGGGCGGUGGUAACCUUCAGAGAGAAGAAAUAGUUUUCAAGCUCCAGGAAGAAAAGAAAGCAAGCCCGGGAAGAAUGCCAAGUUUCAGCCUCCUGGACCACGAAACUAGAAUUUUCCCGCGUUUUUAAAGUUUCGAUUUCUCAGAAAACUAUAAACAUGAUCCCGCCCUCUUGGUGCUCAUCUUUGGGAGGAGGGAGGGAAUGCUCUUUACCCGAGUGAACUCUAGUUAUUUGGCUUGAGGCUAAAGGAACUGUCUAGCAGAAGAAACACAUUAAACCCUGGGAGAACAACGUCUGGAAAAAAAUAUUUUGGAAUACACACUCAACUGUUAUCCUCCAGGGAGGGGAAGAGUGGAGAAAGAAUAUGGAAAGGAAGGGGGAUUUUACUUUGUACAAUAAGCUUUUGUCAGUAAGGAAAAGAAAGAAAAAAAUAAGCAAGAAAAUAAGAAAUACUAGGGUCAGAGAAUUAAGAGUGCAUUUUAUUGACUUCCUCACUUAAUUUUUCUAGUAGCUUCUAUAAUCCUGGGAGUUCUAGUUGGCACCCAGUUGAAAUUCCUCCUGAUGGGUGGGACACAGUGAGGUUUGCCUGUAAUGUCAGGCACUCAGGAGGCUGAGGAUCACAAGUUUUUGUGAGUAUGUGUGAUAUAUAUUUUUUUUUUAAUUUUUUUUUUUUUUUUUUUUUUGCGGUGUUAGGGAUUGAACCCAGGGCCACAAUUGUGCAUGCAAGGCAAGCACUCUACCAACUGAGCUGGGAGGCUCACAAGUUUGAGGCCAGUAUCAACAAAUUAGAGAGCCGUAUCUCAAAAUGAAAAAUUAAAAAGGCUGGGGAGAGCUGGGGGGUGCUCUGUGGCAGAGCACUUGCCUAGCAUGUGUGAGGCACUGGGUUCAAUCCUCAGCACCACAUUAAAUAAAUAAAUAAAUAAAUAAAUGUCCAUCAACAGUCAUAAAAUAUUUAAAAGGGUGGGGGUGGGAUUGCUGGGGAUGUGACUCUGGUAGAGUGUCCCUGGAUUCAAUCUCCUGUACCAGAAAAUAAAAGAAAUUCCUAUUGGUUGGGAUGGUAGUGUAGCUCAGUGGUAAAGUCUAGCAUGAUCAAAGCCCUGGUUUGGACCCCCAGUACUGAAGGGAAAAAAAGAAGGAAAAGAAGAAGUUCCUGCUGGAUCCCCUGUUAUUGACCUCGCAGCUGAUAGUGUAGGUGUCAUUCUGAUUGGCUGCUCCCACUCCAUAGCUCACACAAGUCACUGUUCCCUUGAGCUUUUGUUCAGUUUCCUUUGGGUGCCCUUAGAGACUGCAAGAAUUGUCACAGCAUGGAUUUAACAAUCAUUUUUAUCGAGGAGAAAAGGUGUUGUGCAGUAGAGGGAUUUGAAUUAAAGAUGCCACAAACCAGAUCAUUUAUUCCCAGUCUUGGCUGCUUGUCAGAUCCUUUUGACAGAAUUUUCAAAAAUUCAGAUUCUAAAUGGAGUUUCUCCCCAGGCACACUGACUAUUAUAUAUUGGUGCAAUAUUAUUCAGAGGCAGAAUAAUAUUACAGCUACAUAACACACUUACAUAGGGAUAAAUAUACAAACAGAAGCAAACAGGCAUCUUAAGAGUUUUCAUUUGAAAUCUUAACCAUAAGUUAGUUAUUAUUGAAAAACUUAUAAUUUAGGAAUUGAUUCUCAUCUUUGCCUUAAUAUUUCCUUUCAAUAUAAUCUUCCCAUCAGUGAUAUUAAGACAUCUAUAUAGGAUGACAGCUCUCUAAAAUAUCCUUCCAAGUCCAAAUCUUCAAAGUCAUACCAAUCUUUUGUGGGGAGGGGGGUUGCAUUGAACCCAGGAGUGCUCUAUUACUAAGCUACAUCCACAGCCCCUUUUAUUUUUCAUUUUGAGACAGGGUCUCACUAAGUUGCUUAGGGCCUCACUAAUUGGCUGAGGCUGGCCUGGAACUUGGGAUCCUUCUGCCUCAGCCUUCAGGUCACUGAGAUUGCAGUCAUGCACUAUUGUGGUAUACCAAUCUUAAUUGUGACUCAUACCUUUUUAUGGCUUAAAAGAAGUAAACCUUUGAUGGCUUAUUCAUGGAUGCAAAAGUUGUCGCUAAAGAGGUUGCAAAAAAAUGUAACCUUCCCAAGAUCCAGAAAGUUCAUUCCCAGAAUAAGCCAAAGAAAUCAAAGACUGUUGUCACAGAAAGCAAGAACAGUGUUUGCAAAAACAAAUUCUUCAGUGGGCCAUGGGAAUGUGAGAGGCCUCUGGUCACAGACCCAAUAACCUGUGGCACCAGGUGGGCGAUGCUAGGAUAAGGGAUUCCCAGCACUAUCAAGAUAAUGGCAUCUGAAACAACAAAGCCUCUUCUGAACUUGUGCUUCCUAUUGAGACAAACUCCCCUGAGAACUGGCACAGUCAGAUAAAGAGGGUGCUGCUUGUCACAUGUUUUGUUCACAGCCUGUUUGGAGAGUCACCUGAUAAAAGCCAGCAUUUGCACCUUCUGGCUGGGAGAGACCAGAGAAAAUGUUUUCAUUCGUCACAAGGUCAGGCUCUUGGAACAUAAAACAAGACAAAAGAAUACUCUCAUAAUUUUUCUCUUUAUGACGUAAUAAAAAAGACAGAGAUGAAGAUAAAAAGAGAACUAUUCCUGGGAGGCUAUUGAUCACACCCAGAAACUAAUUCACUAGAGUCACAAUUCAGAGAACAAAAUUUUACAAAUGUUUUUUUCCUGUCAAUCUGCAUUUGGAAAGGAGAGGACAAGGGGGGAAAUUUUCUACCUUCCUCUCUUUACUGAGCAUUACGGAGAGAGAUCUGUGAGAACUGACUUUGGAAAGAAUUCUGCUGUUUCUUGUUGGCUCUUUCAGGAUCCCUUCCACAGGUUCCAGAGCAAAUGGAGCAGCCCAACAUUUUAGGAUCUCAUUGACAUUGGCAGAAACUGUAGAGAAGGCGAGUUCUACUUUCUUAGGAUUUUUAGCUGGGCCUGAUAAUUGACAUGUGACAGAUUAACAAGAGAAAAGUCAUACAGAUUGUUUUUCUUUUUGCAAUACUGAGAAUCAAACCCAAAGCUUCACAUAUGUGCUCUACCCCUGAGUUACACUCUCACUCCUUUUUAUUUUUAUUUUUUAUUUGAGACAGGGUCACACUAAGUUGUGCAGGCUGGCCUCAAACUUGCCAUCCUCCUGUCUCAGCUUCCUGAGUGGUUGGGAUUAUAUACAUGCCUGUGCCACCACACCUACUUCAAAAUGCAUUUGGGAUGGCUAAAAAUCUGCCACUUUGGGCUGGGGAUAUAGCUUAGCUCAGUUGGUAGAGUGCUUGCCUUGCAUGCACAAGGCCCUGGGUUCAAGCCCCAACACCACAAAAAAAAAAAAAAAAAUCUGCUACUGUUUAUAACCUUUGGGCAAGUGGAGAUGUGUUUUAUAGACUUAUUGAGUUCUGUCCCUGGCAUGGCAACUACCACUCCUCAAGGAGGGCACAACUAUCCAUGCCAGCAUCUGACAGUGGGGAAAUGAGAGGAAAAGAAUGGUUUUGUCCUAAUUAUGUCACUCUGUUGCUGAGUCCCCUGAAAUGUUUGUACCCUAUAUUGCCCUAUGUUUUAUGGAGUUUGUGAAGAACUUUUCACCAUUUGCCCACCCAUCACCCUCUUCCUUUCUGUUGGUAUGAGUUUAAGCUGCAUCAGGGAAUGAGCUGGAACCUAAGGGGCCCUACUGCACCAAGUAUCAACUUGCCCUGGGCUGCUAUGUGGAAAACGCCUCACCUACAACAUGGGAGACUGUGGAGUGGGAAGAGACCAACCCAAUCAGGAUACAAAAUGGAAUGUACACUAUGAUUACAACUCUGCAAAAAUAUAUCUGCCAACGGACUAAUAUUGGAUAUAAACAAGCAAAAAUGAAAGUAUAACUGCAUGUCUGAUGAGAAAAUGGAGUCUUACAGAAGUAAAGCAAUUUGCGAAGGUCAUACAGCCAAGUAAGAAAAGAGUUGGAGGGCUGGGAUUGUCGCUCGGUAGUAGAGCAUUUGCCUAGCACCAGGUGAAUACUGGGUUCCAUCCUCAGCACCACAUAAAAGUAAAAUAAAAGUAAAUGUCCAUCUACAACUAAAAAAGUAUUUAAAAAAAUAGAGCUGGAAUUCAAAGCCAGGGUCAAUCUGACCCUAGGACUCAAGGUUUUAACAAUACUUAAUCCUAGAAAAUGUUGUCUACAUGUACAAUGGAGUUUUAUUCAGCCAUAAAGAAAAAAUGAAAUUAUGGCAUUCAAAGGAAAAUGAAUGGAACUUGAGACCAUCAUGGUAAAUCAAACUCGGAAAUUAAGGGUUGGCCAGGUGCCAUGACGCAAGCCUGUAAUCCCAGCAGCUUGGGAGGCUAAAGCAGAAGGAUCACAAGUUCAAAGCCAGCCUCAGCAAGAGUGAGGCGCUGAGCAACUCAGUGAGACCCUGUCUCUAAGAUAAAAUAGGGCUGAAAAUGUGGCUCAGUGGUUGAGUGCCUCUGAGUUCAAUCCUCAGUACCCCUCUCCCCCCAAAAAAGAAAGUUAAGAGUCAUAUAUUUUCUCUCAUAUGCAGAUGCUUGAGAGGAAAAAAGAAAACAGAGGUGGGGAUGGAUCCCCUAAAAAUCAAAGGGAGAUCAGUAGAGGAAGAGAUGGGCAAUGGGAAGUGAGGGGGGAAGUGCUGGGGAGUUAUAUUGGCCAAAUUAUGUUGUUAUAUUGUGUGCACAUACAAAUAUGUAACAACCAAUCUCAUCAAUAUGUACAACUAUAAUGCACCAACUAAAAAAAUGUAGGGAAAAAACAGUACCUUAUCUUGCCUUACAUAAUUAAGUCCUGCUAUACAUAAUUCAAAAGGUGGCCGGGAGGUUAAAUGAUUUAUUUAAAACAAUUUUCACAGUGUUUGCCACACAGUAAACAUUUAAUACAGGUGAGCCAUAGACAUAUAUGUCAGAGAAGACAGGAAUGUAGGUGUAAAGACAUUCUUAGGUAUUAACAAUGACUUGUGGGGUUUGUCAUGUCUGCCUGGCUAGGAAAGGGGCCUGCGCUUUCUUCACUGUCCUCAGUCCUCCUUCUCUCAUCACCUGCCUCUUCCAAGAUAUACAACUGGGCAAAGUAGACAGCCUUUCCUGAAUUAAAACAGGAACUUUAAAUGCAAAAGGCCAAGAUAAUUCUGAAAUAGUAAACAAUAAUAAGGGAAAAUAUAGCCAGGUGCCAUGGUACAAGCCUAUAAUCCCAUCCAUAAUUCUCCACAUUAUGCUUUCCCUCCAAGGUCUUGGUGCAAGGUGAUGAACCUUGGUUUUACUCUCCAUGGUCCCUUGCGGUCACCUUUUUCUGAGAUAUGAAUAUCUAUCUUUUGUGAUCAGAAACUGAUGUCAGCAUUUUGUUCUAUUAUUUCAGGCAAAUAAAUAAAACUAUACAGCAAUUGGGUUUUCUAUGCACUUUCCAUCAGUAUCGACAUAAAUAACGUGAUUUAUUCAGACCACCCUUUUGCUCAAGAAAUUCCAUUUUGGGGAAUUUAUAAAUAUACUAGAAAAGGAAAACAUUGUAUGCCUAUAUGCCUGGCUUAAUUUUAGUAGCAUAAAGUUGCUAUUGGCACAAAUAAAAAGGAAGUGUCUAUUGAAAUUUCAUUAUUUGGCUAGGAUGUUGUACAACUACUAAAAAUUAUAAUUUUGAAGACCAUCCUAGAACAUGGAGAAAUGCCUACAUUAGUUAGCCACUGUUACUAAACAAACAGCCAGUCAUAAAAUAAUAAAGAUUGUUUUAGUCAGCCUUUUUGCUGCUGGGACUAAAAGACCUAACCAGAACAAAUAUAGAGGAGGAAAAGUUUAUUUGAGAGCUCACAGUUUCAGAGAUCUUAGUCCACAGAAGGCUGGCUCCAUUCCUCAGGGCUUAAGAUGAGGCUGAACAUCACGGAGGAAGAGGGUGGCAGAGGGAAGCAGCUCACAGGGUGAUCAGAAAGCAGAGAGAGAGAGAGAGAGAUCUUCACUUGUUAGAUACAAAUAUAUACCUCAUAGUCACACCCACAAUGCCCCACUUCCUCUAUAUGUCACUCAGCUAAUCCCAAAAAAAAGGUUUAAUUCACUGAUUGGAUUAAGGCUGUCACAACCUGAUCAUUUCUUCUCUGAACUUUCUUAAAUUGUCUCACAUGUGAGCUUUUGGGGGACACCCCACACCAAACCAUAACAAAUGUUUAUUUCUCAUUCAUGCAUUUUCAGGUCAGUUGGGAUUUGUCUGAUUUAGUUAGGAUUGUUUGAACUUGGCUCAGGCCAUGAGUUGAGUUGAAGUUGGCUUCAUAUGUCUCUUAUUCCUUGGUGACCGAUGGGCCAUCCAGGGCCAUGUGUUUCAUAUGACAGAAACCCAAGAGAACAAAUUCAAUGCUAAAAACAUAUAUGACAUGUGUCCACAUCACAGAUACUAAUAUUUCAUUGGCCACAUCAAGUAACAUGGCGCCACGUCCACAUAAGAAAAUAUCCCCAGCUCUAAUGUUAGAAACUGCAAAGGGUCAAGACAUAGGGAGGGGUGAAUUAUUUGGAACAAUAAUACAAUCUGAAGCAAUGCUUCACAAAAUGUUAAAUACAAAAAAGCACAUAGAUAGGAUAUAAAGCUGAUUACAAAAUUUGAUCAUAACUCUGUAAAAGUGUUUUUAUAUCAAUAAAGAAUGGAAAUAAAUAAGCAAACUGAAAAAAAUCAUGCCUGGAAAUUGAUACGAUUUAAGUACCUUUUAUUUUUUUUCUCCAUUUCUCAAACUUACAUGACAAUAUUAUAUUACCCUCCUUUUUU